UCCGAAUUGGUGUAGUGGCUAACAUUUGACGCUCUCAUUUACGUACCGUCAAGCCCGGGGUUCGAUUCCCCGAUUCGGAG